rnacentral:lncRNA from 1 species
CACGAUAAAUGGCUGAGCUGGGAUUCGAACUCAAGCAGUCUGACUAACGGCCUGAGCUGCUGAUUGAUACAAACAUCCUGUGAUAGAGGAGCUGGGCCAACUGUGCCAGGUUUGGGGCAUGUUGAGGAAGUUUCUGAGUUACACCAUGUCUCUGCCUGCCCAGAAAGAUAGAACUGUUGCGGCAAGACCCCCAGGAAGAAGAACUAUGUCCUAGUGAAUCAGAAAUAAACUGUAAAAGAUGAUGGAGACUUCAGAGCAAGGACAAAAGCUUUUCUGCACACAUCGUUCUCUGCUUCACCCUUGGUUUGCCUCCUUCUCAUCUGAGUCCUGCAGCUCCUAGAGUCUGUUCCACACCCUUGCUCCAUAUUGGUGAAAAGCCUGCAUGGCCAGAAGCUGGGAGAGAGUGGAAGGCAGAGAGCUGUGAUCUAGG